rnacentral:rRNA from 1 species
AAUGAACGCUGGCGGCAGGCCUAACACAUGCAAGUCGAACGGGAUCUUCGGAUCUAGUGGCGGACGGGUGAGUAACGCGUGGGAACAUACCCCUUUCUUCGGAAUAGCCUCGGGAAACUGGGAGUAAUACCGGAUACGCCCUUCGGGGGAAAGAUUUAUCGGUAAGGGAUUGGCCCGCGUUGGAUGAGGUAGUUGGUGGGGUAAUGGCCUACCAAGCCGACGAUCCAUAGCUGGUUUGAGAGGAUGAUCAGCCACACUGGGACUGGGACACGGCCCAGACUCCUACGGGAGGCAGCAGUGGGGAAUUUUAGACAAUGGGGGAAACCCUGAUCUAGCCAUGCCGCGUGAUCGAUGAAGGCCUUAGGGUUGUAAAGAUCUUUCAGAUGGGAAGAUAAUGACGGUACCAUCAGAAGAAGCCCCGGCUAACUUCGUGCCAGCCGCCGCCGUAA